AAAUCCCAAAUCCCCCUUCGCGAUCGCCUCCGGUUCCGAGUUCCGACCCUUCCCUCCCGGCCACCCGUCGCUUCCGCCGCGAGCUCGAGCUCGAUUCCCUAGGUAAUCCUCCCUCCCCGGCUUCCCAGCCCCCUCCUGAGCUUGGUUGUGCUAGCUCUUUGUGUUCUCGGUUGGUUGAUUGAUUCCGGGAGGUUUUUUGCACGGACCAAGAGUGCGGUAAGCCCGAUCGAUCGCUGGUCGGUGCUUGUGAUCUGUACUAGUUUCUGCUGGUUGUAGUUUUCCAGGUAUGGGUUAAUUACUUCAUGCUUGUUCGGCCGUGCGAGUGGGUUGGAUUUCGUAUCUGCUUGCCUAAUUUGCAUCCUUGUUUCGUCGGAUUUAGUGCAGUUUUGCAAUUUUUGUCAGCCGGGAGCUGUGUGUGGUUAGAAUCUGGUUUUUCGCAGAUUGUGCUGUUUAUUGCUGUUAACUGUAUUCGUCAUAAAGUGCUGUAAAUUGUGCAGUUUAGUGCUGUAAACUGUGCUCGUCAAAAAGUCCUGUGAACUGUGUUGUUUAAGAAUGCAGAUUAAGUUUUCUGGGCGUUAAUCUUAUCGUCAAACUGUUACAUCUUUGUAGGUUAGAGUCUGGUUACCUACUUGUGUCUAAGAGUUUGCUUACCUAAUUAAAUCCAACUUGUGUCGAUGGUUUAGUUGCUAUGCAUGUGGUCAGGAUCUGUAUGAAUCGACAGGAUUGUAGUUUUACUGGUUAUACAGAUUACUUGAUGUUGUUUUUACUGUUCAACUGAUUUGAUCAACGGUUCUACGAAUCUAGUCAAUACUACUACCGUAAUUGUGGCUUCAAGGUGUUGGAAGAACGCUUUCCUUGUGAGGGUUAUCUGGUAGAUUUAUCCUAUUUCUUUUUGUCAAUUGUGUGCGUUGAUCCUGUAAUGUAGGUUAGGUUUUUUGGUAGUUACUCUGAUCAUGAACUUAAAUAACUUUGUAGGUUGGUUUGUUAACUUUCGUUAACUACAACUGAUCCAGUAAGAAUGUGC
rnacentral:lncRNA from 1 species